AUAUCAAUAAGCGGAGGAAAAGAAACCAACAGGGAUUGCCUCAGUAACGGCGAGUGAAGCGGCAACAGCUCAAAUUUGAAAUCUGGCCUUUACGGUUCGAGUUGUAAUUUGUAGAGGAUGUUUUGGGUACCGCCGCGGUUUAAAUUUCUUGGAACAGAAUGUCAGAGAGGGUGAGAGUCCCGUCUUGGAUCGCGGUAGGGCCUGUGUAAAACUCCUUCGACGAGUCGACUUGUUUGGGAAUGCAGGUCAAAAUGGGUGGUAAAUUUCAUCUAAAGCUAAAUAUUGGCCAGAGACCGAUAGCGCACAAGUAGAGUGAUCGAAAGAUGAAAAGCACUUUGAAAAGAGAGUUAAACAGUAUGUGAAAUUGUUGAAAGGGAAGCGCUGGCAACCAGACUCGUGCGCGGGGUUCCCCCUUGCUUCUGCUUGGGUUACUUCCCCGUGUCCGGGCCAUCAUCAGUUUUGGGGGCCGGUUAAAGGUCUUGGGAAUGUAUCUACCCCUUCGGGAGUAGACUUAUAGCCCAGGGCGUGCAUGCGGCCACCCGGGACUGAGGAACGCGCUUCGGCGAGGAUGAUGGCGUAAUGGUUGUCAGCGA
rnacentral:rRNA from 1 species